GGGGCUGUAGCUUAAUGGCAGAGUGCUUGCCUAGCAUGCAUGAGGCACUGGGUUUGAUCCUCAGCACCA
rnacentral:tRNA from 1 species